GACGUAGGGUGCAAGCGUUGUCCGGAAUUAUUGGGCGUAAAGAGCUCGUAGGCGGCUUGUCGCGUCGGCUGUGAAAACCUGGGGCUCAACCCCGGCCUGCAGCCGAUACGGGCAAGCGUAGAAUUCGGUAGGGGAGACUGGAAUUCCUGGAUGUAGCGGUGAAAUGCGCAGAUAUCAGGAGGAACACCGGUGGCGAAGGCGGGUCUUGGCCGAAGGUCG
rnacentral:rRNA from 1 species